AAUUUAUAUUGAAACAAACAGCUUUCGUUCCGGGAAAAACAGUCAGUUACUAAACAGCUUUCGUUCCGAUAAAAUUUCUUUCUUUUCUUCCAGAAACAAACAGCUUUCAAUUUUCUUUGUUCUUUGUUGUUUUGAAAAUUUAGUUACUGCGUGACUUUCCUAACUUCUUAUAAUAGAACCCGGAAAAAGGCUUUUUAGUGUGAUUUAAAUUGCACCAUAUAUUUCAAAGAUCAUAUUGAUUUCAUUUUGCUACCUUAAUUUUAAAAUAUAUAUAUUCAACUCCAUGCAAGUGGUUGUGUUAUAUGUAUAUAUAUAUAUAUACAUGUACAUAUAUAUAUAUAUACAUAUAUAUAUAUAUACAUAUAUAUAGUUCCUGCUUAUGUUUUUGCUGUGAUGCUUUUGCAUUCUAUAGGGGCAAUUACUAGAUUGUCCAGCAACAAAGCUCUUACUCAAGCAAUGCAAACUUGCAAGAAAUUGGAGUAUUUACCUAGAGAGUACGAAGAGUUCUUUUGAUUUUGUGUGCGUUGUAAGUGUAUAUUUUAUGUAAAUCACUACUUUUAUUGUAUAAUAUGUAUUAUGCAGGGUUGAAAUGCCUUUUCCCAAGUAAAUUUCAGUAGUGAGGGAAAAAAAAAA
rnacentral:misc_RNA from 1 species